GAUGAACGCUGGCGGCGUGCCUAAUACAUGCAAGUCGAGCGAACGGACGAGAAGCUUGCUUCUCUGAUGUUAGCGGCGGACGGGUGAGUAACACGUGGAUAACCUACCUAUAAGACUGGGAUAACUUCGGGAAACCGAGCUAAUACCGGAUAAUAUUUUUAACCGCAUGGUUCCAAAGUGAAAGACGGUCUUGCUGUCACUUAUAGAUGGAUCCGCGCUGCAUUAGCUAGUUGGUAAGGUAACGGCUUACCAAGGCAACGAUGCAUAGCCGACCUGAGAGGGUGAUCGGCCACACUGGAACUGAGACACGGUCCAGACUCCUACGGGAGGCAGCAGUAGGGAAUCUUCCGCAAUGGGCGAAAGCCUGACGGAGCAACGCCGCGUGAGUGAUGAAGGUCUUCGGAUCGUAAAACUCUGUUAUUAGGGAAGAACAUAUGUGUAAGUAACUGUGCACAUCUUGACGGUACCUAAUCAGAAAGCCACGGCUAACUACGUG
rnacentral:rRNA from 1 species